rnacentral:misc_RNA from 1 species
GGAGAGAUGUUAUUGUAUUUGAGGAUUUGGUUGAAUUCUUGAAGGCACUGGAGGGCACGAAGAUGGGAUUCCGCUGAGAUGGAAGUGGAAGAGUCGCGACCGAGGCAUACAGGGUUCUUGUGGCGAUCAAUGGUGAGGAAUUUGCCCGAUGGGUCUGCUUGGACUAUUAACAUUUUGAAGGAGUUGGUGCCCAUGUCUAUUGAGGCAAAAAGAUUACUAUUUGGUGGAGCCAUGGUUUUUGGACUUCGUUGUGCUGUUAAUGAGGAAGGAGUUUCUUCAUCGGAUGGAUCCAAGAUGACAAAGCCAAGGAAUCGAGUCUGAUGGGGCGACCGUGGAUAUGAGUUUCC